CGUGACUUUGCAGUGAAGCACCAUCCAAGGCAUUUCACCUGCUCAUACAGUUUCACCUGCUUCUCUCAGCAAGUUGCCAGUUUGCUCCUGAGAGAUUGAGCAAAUCUUACUCUUCCUGCAGGACAAGUGGUCAUUUUCAGCAUGAGUCAACAACGUGAUGUAAUUUAAUCUCUUCACAAAGCAGAAGUUGAGGCAGAGUUGUAAGGCUGUUUAGUUCUGACUGAAUUGAAUUUUGACAGAACUUGGAAGGGGAAUUGAAAAGGUAAAAAUAUUUAGCAUCUCGGUUCAUUUCACGUAGACACAUAUUACGUGUUUCAAAGGUAAAA
rnacentral:lncRNA from 1 species